CCUACGGGUGGCAGCAGUGGGGAAUAUUGGACAAUGGGCGAAAGCCUGAUCCAGCCAUGCCGCGUGUGUGAAGAAGGCCUUCGGGUUGUAAAGCACUUUCAGUGGGGAAGAAAGCCUUGGGGCUAAUACCCUCGAGGAAGGACAUCACCCACAGAAGAAGCACCGGCUAACUCCGUACCAGCAGCCGCGGUAAUACGGAGGGUGCGAGCGUUAAUCGGAAUUACUGGGCGUAAAGCGCGCGUAGGCGGUCUGAUAAGCCGGUUGUGAAAGCCCCGGGCUCAACCUGGGAACGGCAUCCGGAACUGUCAGGCUAGAGUGCAGGAGAGGAAGGUAGAAUUCCCGGUGCAGCGGUGAAAUGCGUAGAGAUCGGGAGGAAUACCAGUGGCGAAGGCGGCCUUCUGGACUGACACUGACGCUGAGGUGCGAAAGCGUGGGUAGCAAACAGGAUUAGAUACCCGGUAGUC
rnacentral:rRNA from 1 species